rnacentral:rRNA from 1 species
UACGUAGGGGGCUAGCGUUGUCCGGAAUCAUUGGGCGUAAAGCGUGUGUAGGCGGCCCGGUAAGUCCGCUGUGAAAGUCGGGGGCUCAACCCUCGGAUGCCGGUGGAUACUGUCGGGCUCGAGUACGGAAGAGGCGAGUGGAAUUCCUGGUGUAGCGGUGAAAUGCGCAGAUAUCAGGAGGAACACCAAUUGCGAAGGCAGCUCGCUGGGACGUUACUGACGCUGAGACGCGAAAGCGUGGGGAGCAAACAGG